AAUAAAAAGUUUUUUGUGUACUUUUCAGGUGGUAAAAAUGACACCCCAAAAGUCUUUCACUGAAAAGGUAGUUGUUCACUGUUUCAGCAACUACGUUGGCCCCAUCCACAGAUUCAAAGAGCACAGGAAUAGCCUCUGCCGUUCCCAUUUCUUUUGCUUCUGCAUGGCCUGAGGCUUAGAACAGUACCAAACAGGAAUGCGGAUGCUUGAGUGUGGGUUUUUAAUGUGUUGCAGCAGGUGGCAAAGGUAGAUAAUUCCAGGCUUCUGUGCCUGGUUAUGCGCUGAUAAUCUGAAUCUGGGCAUCUACCUGCAGUUCUGUCACAGAAUGAGCUUUGUGGGGCCAGCCAAGACUGUCAAGCUGAAAGUGCCCAAGAAGACAAGCUGCAUCUGCACUCCUAAAAAUGCUGUUGUUGUUAAAUACAUUGCAGGUGGAGGCAUAGCUCAGUGACAGAGCACUUGUUUCAUAUGUGCAAGAUCCUGGAUUCCCUUCCCAGCAGCCAGAAGGAAAAAAAGAAAAAAAAAAACCACACUACUUGAUGGAUUCUUCUUUUUAUUACGUGAAUUCAUCCUAUAUUUUAGUAGCCAAGAAUCUGGGCUGUGGAACUUAGACUAUUUUGGGCUCCAUCCCAACUGUGAAUCACCUAUCAUGCCUCUUCUGUGGGUGCAAAUUUGGAAGAUUUUCAUUCUAUACACGUCUUCUGUGUGCGGCUGGAACUCAGUGGUAGCUCCCUACUGUUUACCAACAUCAUAGAACGAUUUUGGCUUUCCACCAUCAAAGAAACAUUACAGUUAUCUUCCUUAUCCAUGGUUUGGGAUCUUUUCUUUUUUGUUGAUUUUAGCUUUAAUUUUCCAUGUUAUAAUGUACUAAACUACUUGUACAGUUUUGUUGAGAAACAGUGGCUCUGAGCCCCUCCUUUUCCCCCCUUUUCCUCAAAGACCACCAUUUCACUUCCUAGCUAAUUAUUUUGGGGUUUUCAUCUGUGUUCAUAAAUAAUAUAAUUGAAAGGCUAAUGGUAGGCUUUUUUUCAGUUUCAGCAUUCUCUAUUGGUUUUCCACCAUGAUAAAAAAAUAAUAGCCACCACUUACGCAGCACUUAGCAUGUGCCAAACAUUCUUAUUGUUACAGCCCAUAUGCUGUAUUAAUUUAUUUAAUGGUCCUAGUAGCUCUGAGAAGUGAAUGUUAUUAUUAACACCAUUUUGCAGAUGAGGGAGAAAACUGAGGAGCAGAGGUAGGGUAAUGGUCCAAGUUCAUAUAUCUCAGAAGUGAAUGUCUUGGGAUUUGGACCCAGGGGAUUUGCUUUACAAUUCAAGCACUAGCUAGUCUGUCACUCCCUCUGCUGUCCUACCUCACAUAUUCAUGCUUCCCCUUUCCUCAUUCUCCAAAUAGAGUUUUGCUUAGAUCAGUUUCCAGUAUUUACAUGAGGAUCAAGCCUCAGCAGGUGAUAAGCAAUCCAAUGGCCUGCAUAGAGUCUGCUCCUCUAAUCCAUAGACAUACAACUAAAGGUAAAAGUGUGUGUUGUACAAGGCUUUGAGAGCUUGUUAUUGUUCACUGUGUGGCAAUAGCUGGCUGAGACAACAUGUCAAUAAAUGACUGUAUUUUGUCCUACACUUUAGUGAUAAUUUGGUUAGGUAUAAAAGUGUCAGUUGGGAGUAAAUUUCAGAACUAAAAAGCACUGCUUCAUUGCCAUCUGUCAAUGAUUGGGAAAUCCAAAGCCAUUCUCAUCUCUGAUCCUUUAUGUUUAAUAAUGUUUUCUCUCUCUCUGUGAGAAGUUAAUUCUGUCUUCAUUCUUUUGAAAAUUCACAAUUAAGUGCCUUGGUGUGGACCUAUUAUCAUAUGAGAUGACAGGCAUUCAGUGAGCAUUUUCAGUUAGGAACCUUGUCUUAGUUCUGGGAAAGUUUCCUGGAUUAUUUCAUUGCUGAACAGUUCCCCUCCAUCCCUUUUCUCCCACCAGAAAAUUCAUGAUUACUACAAUGUGGUAAGCUCCUGGACUGGUUCUCUAAUUUAAAAAUGUACUUUGGGCCUUAUUUCUAUAUCUUUGGACUUUUGACCUAUGUUUUGGGAGCAUUCCCGAAUUAAAUUCAUUUCUUCUAUUGAAUUUUCCAUUUUUGCCAACUUUGUAGGGGCUGGGGAUAUAGCUCAGUGGUAGGGCACUUAUCUAGCAUCAUGUGAAAAAGACCUGGGUUUGAUUCUCAGCACCACAAAAACAAAAAAACACAGAAAACAAACAAAAACAUGAAUUUCCAAUUGUUCCUACUGGUCUCUGAACUUUAGAAAUGGCAUUCUGUUCUUGUUUCAUGAGC
rnacentral:lncRNA from 1 species